rnacentral:rRNA from 1 species
GAUAGUGUAAAGUACUGUGAAGGAAAGGUGAAAAUUCAUCAACAUAAGAAGUGAAAAUUAUUGAAACUUAAUGUAUAAAUUGUUAAAGCGUAAGCUAUAGCGUACCUUUUGCAUAAUGGACUAGUGACUUAAUACGUAUUGCGAGCUUAACUUUUGGGGAGGCGAAAUUAAUAUAAAUAAAGUAAUUCGUAUUAGACCCGAAGCUAAUCGAUCUAAUUAUGGGCAGGUUGAUGUAUAACUGAGGACCGAACCCGUGACUGUUGCAUAAGUCUGGGAUGACCUGUAAUUAGGGGUGAAAGGCCAACCAAGAUUAGUGAUAGCUGGUUCUCCACGAAAAUUAUUGAAGUAACGAGCCUACGAUACAGUAAUUAGGGUAAAGUAAACUUUGAAUAUAGUGAUAUUAUAUCAGACUAGAUUUUUAGGAACUUAUAAUAUAAUUAUUGAUUUAUAGGUAUUUAGACAUAUACGCGCUAAGGUGUUAUGUCAAGAGGGAAACAGCCCAGACCGCACGAUAAGGUGCCUAAUGGUAACUAAGUUAAAAGGUGUAACUAUAAUAAAUUAAUUAGGAGAUAGGAUUGGAAGCAGCCACUCAUUAAUGAAAGCGUAAAAGCUCACUAAAUUAAUCCUGUAUAACGAUAUUUUAUAUUAAAUUAUAGAUACUUCGAUAAUGUAGAGGCAUUGAAGUUACCAACCGAAGCGGCGGAAAUAUUAUAUAUUUGGUAGUGGAGUUUUUUGUAUUUCCUUGAAGAUUAAUUGUGAAAUUAGUUGGAGAAAUCAAUAUUAAUUAUACUAGUGAUAGUAACGUAAAAUAGUGACACAAAGAUCACUAUCGCUGUAAAUUCUAGAAUUUCAUUAAGAAAGGAAAACUUUAAUGCUAGAUUCGCUCUCUAAAAAAAAGAUUAAAAUCGAAAGUUUGAUGAGUUGACUUCUAAUUUGACUUUAUUUUUAAUUAUUAUUUUGUGAAAUUUUAGUAAUUAUUAAUUAAAAUUUAAACUAGAAAAAUAUUAGAAGCUCUUAAUUAAUUUUAAGAUGUAUCCAUGGAGCGUAUUAAAUCUGACACAAGUGAAUGGGUAGAACAUACUAAGGCGGUAGAAGAAUAUAAUUGAAGGAACUCGGCAAAAUGACUCUGUAACUUCGGGAUAAGGAGGACUACCUAAGGUAGUAUCUAAAAAGAGGGGGCGGCGACUGUUUAACAAAAACACAGGUCUUUGCUAAAUUUAAAAUGAUGUAUUAAGUCUGACACCUGCCCAGUGCUUUAAAGUAAAGAACUAUUAGUGUAGCUAGUAGUAUAACCAAAAGUAAACGGCGGCUGUAACUCUGACGGUCCGAAGGUAGCGAAACUCAUUGGCGGGUAAGUUCCGUCCUGCAUGAAUGGUGUAACGACUGCCCCGCUGUCUCCAAUUAUAAUCUAGUGAAGCCAAAUAUUAGGUGAAAAUGCCUAAAUCGAACAACGGGACGGAAAGACCCCGUGCACCUUUACUGGAACCUUAUACUACUUUUGCGCUAAAAUUUUAGAUAGUAGGGUUUAAUUAAACUUGAUUUAACUAUUAAUAUUUUAAUCAUUAGACUAGGGUAAUAUAGAAGUAUUUAUCUAAAUCUGUAAGGAUGCCAGUUUCACUGGGGCGGUGACCUCCUAAAAAGUAACGGGGGUGAGCAAAAACUUUGUAAAACAUAUGUGCUAUGUGAGUAUUACAAUGGAUAAAACUUAGUUUGAUUUAUAAAACCGAUAGGUUUUUAAAGAGUAAAGAAUUUACUUGCCAUAGUGACCCGGUAAUAUAUAUUGAUAUAGUUAUCGAUAAACGGAUAAAAGGUACGCCGGGGAUAACAGGCUAAUAACUCCCAAGAGUUCCCAUCGACGGAGUUGCUUGGCACCUCGAUGUCGGCUCAUCAUAUCCUGGUUGAGAAUAAUCUUCCAAGGGUCGGUCUGUUCUACCGUUAAAAUGGUACGUGAGCUGGGUUCAGAACGUCGUGAGACAGUUUGGCUCCUAUCUGUUGUUAAGAUUAAAAAAUUGUGGGACCUUGCCUUAGUACGAGAGGACUGGGAUAGAGUGAUCACUGGUAGAAAAAUUGUUAAAUAAAAUAGCAUGUUUUGAAGCUACAUCACGACGAGAUAAUUGCUGAAAUAUAUUAAAUAAGAAGCUCCCCUACGUAUUUUUUCUAGAAACAUAUUAAAGAGUAUGAUAUAUAAUAUUUUAUA